CAGGAUGAACGCUAGCUACAGGCUUAACACAUGCAAGUCGUGGGGCAGCAUGGUUGUUGCUGCAACAACCGAUGGCGACCGGCGCACGGGUGAGUAACGCGUAUCCAACCUGGCCCUUAGUAGGGGAUAGCCCGGCGAAAGUCGGAUUAAUACCCUAUGUUCUUUACAUCAGACAUCUAACGUAAAGCAAAGAUUCAUCGCUAGGGGAUGGGGAUGCGUCCGAUUAGCUUGCCGGCGGGGUAACGGCCCACCGGGGCGACGAUCGGUAGGGGUUCUGAGAGGAAGGUCCCCCACAUUGGAACUGAGACACGGUCCAAACUCCUACGGGAGGCAGCAGUGAGGAAUAUUGGUCAAUGGGCGAGAGCCUGAACCAAGCCAAGUAGCGUGAGGGAUGACGGCCCUACGGUUGUAAACCUCUUUGUACGGAAUAAAGUGCGCCACGCGUGGCGUUUUGUAUGUACCGUAAGAAUAAGGACCGGCUAAUUCCGUGCCAGCCGCCGC
rnacentral:rRNA from 1 species